UACGUAGGGGGCAAGCGUUGUCCGGAAUCAUUGGGCGUAAAGAGCGUGUAGGCGGUCCGAUAAGUCGGUUGUGAAAGUCCAGGGCUCAACCCUGGGAUGCCGACCGAUACUGUCGGACUAGAGUUCGGAAGAGGCGAGUGGAAUUCCCGGUGUAGCGGUGAAAUGCGCAGAUAUCGGGAGGAACACCUAUGGCGAAGGCGGCCCUCUGGACGGAUACUGACGCUGAGACGCGAAAGCGUGGGGAGCAAACAGG
rnacentral:rRNA from 1 species